rnacentral:rRNA from 1 species
UACGGAGGAUGCAAGCGUUAUCCGGAUUUAUUGGGUUUAAAGGGUGCGCAGGUUGUUUGGUAAGUCAGUGGUGAAAAACUGCCGCUCAACGGUAGUCUUGCCAUUGAUACUGUCUUUCUUGAGUAUGGAUGAGGUAGGCGGAAUGUGCAGUGUAGCGGUGAAAUGCAUAGAUAUUGCACGGAACACCAAUUGCGAAGGCAGCUUACUGGACCAUUACUGACGCUCAGGCACGAAAGCGUGGGGAUCAAACAGGA